rnacentral:rRNA from 1 species
GACGAACGCUGGCGGCGUGCUUAACACAUGCAAGUCGAACGAAGAGCGAUGGAAGCUUGCUUCUAUCAAUCUUAGUGGCGAACGGGUGAGUAACGCGUAAUCAACCUGCCCUUCAGAGGGGGACAACAGUUGGAAACGACUGCUAAUACCGCAUACGAUCUGACCUCGGCAUCGAGGAUAGAUGAAAGGUGGCCUCUACAUGUAAGCUAUCACUGAAGGAGGGGAUUGCGUCUGAUUAGCUAGUUGGAGGGGUAACGGCCCACCAAGGCGGUGAUCAGUAGCCGGUCUGAGAGGAUGAACGGCCACAUUGGGACUGAGACACGGCCCAGACUCCUACGGGAGGCAGCAGUGGGGAAUCUUCCGCAAUGGACGAAAGUCUGACGGAGCAACGCCGCGUGAGUGAUGACGGCCUUCGGGUUGUAAAGCUCUGUUAAUCGGGACGAAAGGCCUUUUUGCGAAUAGUGAGAAGGAUUGACGGUACCGGAAUAGAAAGCCACGGCUAACUACGUG